rnacentral:tRNA from 2 species
CCCACUAGUUUGUGCGCAACGAAAGCACCCCCGGCCCAAGAGGCCGGGGGUGUUCUCGUCUUGGAAGUGGGUUCAACUCCUACCGGUAGGA